GCCCCGCCCGCGGACGCAGCUCGGCCCUGCCGGCUCACCCUAGCUUGACUCCCCGCGAGGGCUGUGGGGAGGGGGCGAGGAGGAGGAGCCGAGGAGGAGCGACGGGGAGGAAGUUCACAGGAUCAGAAAAUGCUGUGUUGAGAGGCACCGCAGAGGUCAACUGGACCACCUCCCUUAGAUCUCCCUGAGGUUGCAGCAGGGUGUGACUGGCCUGAGCCACUUAAUAUGGCCCUCAGUUUCAUCUGUGAAAUGGGCGCUCAUGGAUCGCUCAGCCCGAGGAUCGAGUGAGCUAACAAGAAACUUCUUCAUUGUACCCAUGACGGAAAAGUUUCACGUGAUUGCUAUUUCGAAAACAAAUGGCAUCGUCCCUCUUACCUG